rnacentral:ncRNA from 1 species
ACAUUGCAAACUGGUGGUGGGCACGCUGAAGCGGCCUCGACCAGUCAUGUCCAAGGACUACGACCAAGCCGCCCGGAAACUGCCAGGCGGCUUUUUU